rnacentral:rRNA from 1 species
AUGCUCUUUCCAACAACAACAACAAAAGCGCAUAUAAGAGAACUUGAGGAAGAAGUGAAACUCCUCAAGAACCUUUCACACCCCAAUAUUGUGAGGUACCUCGGGACUGUCCGUGAGGAAGACACACUGAAUAUCCUGCUGGAGUUUGUUCCUGGAGGGUCUAUCCAGUCGCUUCUUGAAAAACUCGGUUCAUUCCCGGAGGCAGUCAUUAGGAAGUAUACUAAGCAGAUUUUGCAAGGGUUGGAAUAUCUCCAUAGCAAUGCAAUAAUACGUAGAGACAUUAAGGGUGCAAACAUUCUUGUUGAUAACAAAGGCUGCAUUAAGCUUGCCGAUUUUGGGGCAUCUAAUGUACAUACGUGCGAGUUCAUCUUCGCCCUAGAUGCCUGUGGCUUCUCUCUUUUGGUGCAGUUUACAAAUAGAAUGCUAAGAUCCUGUCAUGGAGAUGGUUGA